CUCAAGCUGCAGUGAAUGGUGGUGCUCCAUUUUAGGAUCCAUCCAGAGCCAUCCUAAUGAAAUAAGAGAAGCUGUUUGUCCAAGUUCUCUUGAUGAAAUGCUCAAGUCUUGUUCAGUAAAGCUGAGUAAAUCGAGUGUACUGAUAACUGUAUACCGAAAAUGCCCCAUAAGACCUGCCUGAUGUUUUGUUCAACACAGCAACUAAAAGACUGUUCUCUUGGUUCAUGGAAAGACUUACCAAGAACAUCAGAGGUCUCUAACCUGAUUACUUCACUCCAGCGGAUGAACGGAGGAGCUGGGAGGAGAUAAACAGCAUGCAGCUGCUCCUCCCAGCCAAAACCACCGCAAGGCCGAGAUCUUACAGAUCAGCUCCGGCUGUAGCGUCCGCACCCCGGCGAGAGUCCAGCCCGGGCCAGCCGCCGCAGCUGCAGCUACAGCUUUGAUGUGCUGGAGAUUGCAGGUGAAGUCCUUGAACUGCUGACUGUCUGUCGUCAGUUUAUGGAAGUUUAAUGAUGGAGGUUCCAGCUAAUUAUGGAAAAUACACACAGAACGUAAUCGUCAUCCAUCAGCAUGAAACUGAAUCGUAAUGUCCUCAACACAGCCCUUAAAAAAAAGCAGAAGAUGUGUUUUAUAGGAGGAAAAAUGAAAUUGUUGUUUCUUUUCAGAGCACAUAAGUAUUGACUCUGCUCUAAAAACCACAUAAUAAAUAAAUCACAUUAUCGAUAGGUGCGCCGCUAAAUCACAAACAACAUUCUUCCUAAAGUAAUGGUUUGCGUCAAGUGUUCGGAUAUGGAUCGUUUUUCUCACUGUCAUUUCCCUGAAGGAGCUCCUGAGUGUCACUUUUGCUUCUUUAUUGAAAUAUGAAAUACCAUAGGGUGGUAAACAAUAUGGCAGCUGUUUUAUUUAAUAUAUUCUUUAUCAUGUAUGGCAGCUUUUACUCUGAAACACACAGCAAUGAUCAUUGAAAAAAAAAAUCAGUAAUC